rnacentral:lncRNA from 1 species
UGAAUUUCAAAAUUUAUACACAGAUAUAUUGGCUGGAGUAUGUUCAUAGCCUAGUCGCCUGAGGCAAAGUUGCAUAACAAAUCUUAACCACACAUAUUAUAAGGCGGAAUUACCCGACAGUGAUUACUUCAUUCAACAAAACGAAAUAAACAAAGAUAAAUUAAUCAUUAGAGAGACAACUGCACUCUUCGGUUGGAAGAGGAAAAGGGACAGGAAUGGACUCCAAUUUCUUGGGCCUCACUGCCAUUGUUACUGUAAUCACUUCCUUUUCCCUUCUUCCUUUUUCUUUUUGUUUCCAUAGGAGCAGUCUCUGAUGCUUUGAAUUAUGAUAUGAUAUUUUCUUUUUUUUUUGGUAAUUAAAAUUUGUAUUAAUCACCAAAGUGGUUUCGCAGCUGACUAUCAAAAGAUAAACAAAAUCUACUAAUUGUACUAUACCUAGAGUUCUACAUUACAGUAGAUAUUGCUGGAGGUGUACUCUAACUCUAGGAGUUGCCCUAAUAUUACAAGUGUAAGCAAUGUUUCUAAGCAGUUUAUGGAACAGAAAGUAUUUCCAAAUAUUCUCACAUUCCUUUCCAACCAUAAGACAUAGAACAUUUCUGCAAAGGUCAUUUUGAAAAUAUGAGCUUGAGGAGAUUUCCCUUUAGCAUUAUCAAUGAUCCAGUGUACAAACUGUGGCCAAUUCUGUCCAGCAGGUUGNNNNNNNNNNNNNNNNNNNNNNNNNNNNNNNNNNNNNNNNNNNNNNNNNNNNNNNNNNNNNNNNNNNNNNNNNNNNNNNNNNNNNNNNNNNNNNNNNNNNNNNNNNNNNNNNNNNNNNNNNNGCAAUGUGUGAUACCUCAGUUGAGUAGCAAAGGGGCAGGCCAGGAACAAGUGGUCUCUGGUCUCCAAUGUUUGUUGACACAUGACACAGUAGCCAUCCACAGUCGAGUUCCAUUUGAUCAACCUCUCUUUAGUAGGAAGUCAGUCUUGUAGAAGCAGCCAAAGGUUGAAGAGUGCUUUAGGUCGAGCAGAAUUCUGUAUGGUUAAAGUUUCCAUCCACAAUCGAGUUCCAUUUGAUCAACCUCUCUUUAGUAGGAAGUCUGUCUUGUAGAAGCAGCCAAAGGUUGAAGAGUGCUUUAGUUCGAGCAGAAUUCUGUAUGGUUAAGUUCUUCCAAGAGACUCUAUGUAACUGUCCAAUCUGUUGAAGAUAAAUCAUUCUGAUAGAGCAUGCAUGCUUAUGCAACAGUUGGUAUUGCUGCAAUAGAAUAGUACCUUCAAUGAUCUUCCGGACCAUCCAACUGGCUUGUUUAGGAAUAUUCAUGGACUCUAAUUGUUGUUGCUUGAUAUAGACUGUGUGAAUCUAUUCCACCCAUAAUACAUCCUUCUUGGGAGCCAAAUCCCAGCUUAGUUUUGCAACAGCAGCUUUGUUCCACUUUAGGAGAUUGGUUAAGCAUAAAUCUCCAGCACACUUUGGUAGACAGAUCUUUUCCCAGGCCACAUAUGCUUUCCUUGUUAUAUUAACUGAGCCAGACCAUAUGUAGGAUCUGCACACUGCUUCUAACAGUUUUAUAACUUUGGAAGGAAUGAGAAACAGUUGAGCCCAAUAAGCUUGAAUACCAAAGAUUACUGAUUGCACCAAUCAGUUUAUUUUUUUCGUUAUCACAGCACUCCUCAAGUUUGAUAAAGUUACUGAUACUGACUUUGCCGGUACGAAUUAUUAUAUCUUCAUCACCUUAUAUUUUUGUUUCUUUGAAUUUUCUCUUUCAAGUUCAUGAAAUUUUACCUUAUCCACCGUUGAAAAGAAUAUAAUACGUAGAAUUUAUUGAAAUUUAAGGAAAGGUUCAGUUUCGGCUUAAACUUUGGUGGCUUGGGAAUACAUGUUGUUUCAUUCUUGUACAAAUUUCUGGUAUUGUUUUGCUCUUUUUUCUCCUUUGUUUUGGGUUGAGAGGAGGUGUGGAAUGGGGCUAUUCUUUUGAGAUUUGGAAAGUGCUCUUUUAUCAGUGUUGUUAAUCUGACACUUUUUAUCAUACACGAUAAUCUUUUUUUAAUUACUGGAACAGGGAAGCUGAGUCUUUCUAAAUACAAUUUCUCAGAGAUGUCAAUCAAUUCUUUUAGACGUGUGCUUCAAUGAUAGUAUGUAACUUUAUGCCCCAGUAAACUCUCUCUCUCUCACACACACCGCGCAAGUGCAUUAGCUUUCUUAUUCUAUUUUAGUGAUUAUUGGACUGAUUCAGACUCGAUUUUCCUAUUUAUAGGCGCCAUGAGUUCACUUAUACUUCACAAGUUGCCUCUUAAAACAGUGGGAUAGUCUAUGUUGGCCUUAGAAUCAUGGCAAAGUUAUCAUUAUUUGGGAUAAAUUUUAAAUACCUACUACACUAAUAGAGUCUCGUGGCCUAUCUUCUUUACGUACCUUAACCAAUCCAUUCAUCGUGCACCAUGGUAGUAUUUUCCAUUGGAGCACCUCCAUUAUGAAUACCAUUCUGUUUGACUUAAACUUUGUUUAUGCUUAUAUUAUUCCCCUUCUUUUUAUUUUGGGGN